rfam:Triticum aestivum genome assembly, contig: Triticum_aestivum_CS42_TGACv1_scaffold_093197_2AL
GAACUACUUCCUCCGUCCGAAAAUACUUGUCAUCAAAAUGAAUAAAAAUGAAUUUAUCUAAAACUAAAAUAUGUCUAGAUACAUCUCCUUUUAUCCAUUUUGAUGACAAGUGUUUUCGGACGAAGGGAGUAGUUG